GACGGUGCAAUUUUCAGAGUUUGUUUUGGAGUGGAGUGAUUUUUCUUAGGAAUAACUUGACCCCCCUUUUUUAUUGGCUUAAAAGGGAAUAACAAAUGGUGGUGUGUAACCAUGAGGUGUACGAAUAUUGACGAGAGAGAAAGAGUCAGUUACUCCUCUAGAGACUCGACGGUUCAUAUUUUGAAUAAUACAACAAAGCGAACACAUCAUAUUUUACUUUGUCUGUAAUUGUUGGAAUUGGCGGGAAAAGAUAUUGAAGGUUAGUCUAUUAGUUAUACUUUUAGAACCUAGUAUUUCUAGAAUAUUGUUUAUUAAGAAGUGUAAUUGUUUUAAUUACAUUUGAGCAGUUGUAUCUAUAUAAGUAUUUAGUAAGUUGGAAAUAUGAUAGUUAUAAUAUUUCUAAAAGGUCAAGAUAGUGAUUCAACCUUGCAUGUUAAUAUUAUAAGUAAUAUUAAUAAAUCCACUUAUUUUAGAAUUGCGGCACCAGUUGAAUGUAUGUGUCAGGAAGAAUAUAAAGGCAGUUUGGCCUACAGCUGGUGAGUUAGA